UACGUAUUACGUGCGGAAAUUGUUACCAUUUUCGGCUCAAAAAUGGUAACAAUUUCCGCACGUAAUACAAA
rnacentral:miRNA from 1 species